AGGACGUAACAUAUCCAAAAAAAUUCAGCAAAGAUAAAACUAGGAAAUUUCAAACAAAUACAAUAUUCAAUGAUGAGAAAGAUAUGAGCUAUCAAACAUUACCCUUCCUUAAACAGAAACACAACCACCCAAACAUCUGGUGGAGCCUGUGAA